AAGGUUCCAUGCGAGCGGUAAGAGUGCGGCGGGACUUGGAAAUCGAAUCUGUGCUCUGUGAGAGAUCCUAGGAAAGGAAACUGGGAGCCCGGGAGAACUAAAAUUCCCAAUUAAAAGUGAAUUUAAAUCUGAGCUGUUCUUAGACCCAGAAUUUCUUGCCUGAAGGAGGAAUCAGGUCCCCACAAGGAAAGACCCUGCAACUGUAUAAAAAAAGAAUCUAAAAAGAUCAUGACUCCUUCAGUCCUUUCCCAAAGAGACCUAUGGAAAUUUCCUCAGGAGCACCCACAACAGAAUAGACAUUAAACAGCUGCAUAAACAAAUGACUCAGCCAGUUGAUGUCAGUCAGCCUGUGUCAACAGCCACCCCAAUGCUGGCACAAAAGGCACUAGAACAGAAUAGCCUGAUGGCAGAGAUGAAGUGUGCAUGGCUCCAGCAGCACGGACUCCUCUCAUUAAGGCUGAUCUAGCUACUGUUGCUGCCCCAUGUCUAACUUGCCAGCAACGGAGACCAAAGUUGAGCCCCGGAAUCAGCACCAUUCCUCAUAGAGACCAGCUAGUCACUGGGUGGAAGAGGGACCAAGCAAAACCCCAGAAGAGUUGAUCUCAAAGCUUAUUUUAUGAAGAAAAUUGACCUGAGUGACACAAAGGGUUGGACUGUAGUAGAUGUCACGUUUUGCUGCCUAGAUCUCCAUCCAGGGAUGAACUCUUAUUUCCUCAGCUUCUUUGUCUCCUCAGCUUCUGGGAGGGUUGGCAGCUGAUAUUCUCACCUGAGUCCCUUUCUAGGACUUGCCCUUGCCUGAAGAGAGCUGUGCUGCCCAACAUGAUGCCUCCUCCAAGGUACAAUCCACACCCAGUGACUAAUAAACAGGGGUUACAAAGGCAUGCCUGCUUGCCCCAGUUUGGGACAACUUUACCAGGCCAACCCAGCCUCAAGGCUCUCCACAGGAACAGGUGAGGCCAUAGUUGUGAUUACAUCACAGGGACCCUGAAAGCUGUGUCUAUGAAGUUAUUACAAGAUAUUGGCUACUGUGGUGCAUGGAGCUUCUAGGCCAGGGUGAUUCUCACACCUGCCUGAUGUGGAUCUUGUUGCUUCACACCUGAAACAUCAUUUGAGAAGCCCGGGAAGUGGUGUGGCUGCUGCAUGGCUGCUCCAAGAACUACUCCCAUGGGAGAGGAGCUCCCAACAGUGCCUUGCCAUCAAGCUUUGAUUUCUACCUUACAUACCUCUGAAUAAACUGUUGCCAAUGAGGCUGAUGGAAGUCUUGUGAGUUUGAAUGCCAGGUUGAACUUAAGAGGAUUCCCUGAUGCCUCUCUGUGGAUCCUGUCACCUCUACUGGGGAGCAAAAAGAACACAGAAGUUGGAGCCGACGGAUCCCAUGCCUAGCUGGGUAAUUAGGCAAAUCUCAGCCUCUGGAAAUGCAGCUUCUUCUGUAACCUACCUCAGAGGGCUGUUGUGAGGAUUGAAUGGGGUAACAUUUAAACUAACUGGCAAAAGCAGGUUCUCAAUAUAUUAAAAUUCACAUGAAAAAGAUAAACCAGGAAGGGAGUUGGCAGGAAGCCAGGAAGCCUCCUGUGUUCUCUGCAGGAGGCUUAUCUAGUUCAUCAGGAUCUUGGGAACAGCUAGUCUUCCUCUGCUGCAUUCUGAGAGUUAGGUGAUGAGUCACCACCUCAAGAGGCCAUCUAGUUCUGGCCGAUCUAUCUGACUGGAUCGUGGACCCUAGGACCCAGCUAACUUGUUCUCCAGCCAAUUUAGAAGAAUGAGUAGCAAAAAUAAUAUGGCAAGUAUUUCUUGAAGUGCCCUAACCCUCUGUCCUUAUUAGUGUACCCUGUCAGGAGUGGCCUGCCUUGACUUUCUGUCAAACUGGAGCAGCCUGAGACUAAGGGCAAAUGCCCUCUUGGCCUUGGCCGGCCACAACUUGGAUAUGCAGGUCAGGCUUAUUGUUAGGGAAGCUCUGAGACUCAAUUAAUCUGAUGCCUUUUUAUUAUGAGUUCAGGUGCAGCUCCAUUUACAAGUUUUUCUUUCAAAAUCAUUCAGCCAUUAAAGCUGCAUAAUCUUGGAAGGUUUUGAAGACGCAUGAUUGGUAAAUGUUUUUCCCCUUCACACAUUAUCUCUCAUGUUUAUUCAUGAAAAGUGAACCAGUCUUAUAAUUUAAACAGUGUCUUGGGGUAUCUGGCCUCCUGUAUUUCUAAGGGGGAGGAAAGAUGAGGCUAGCCCAGAAGCCAUUUAAAAAGGGGAUUUGAGGCCUGAACGCAGAGAACUCAAUCCCAGGUACUAAUGACCUUGCUUUGGCUUGCAAGACUAAGCCUGAGGCCUGUGGCACUUAAGAGGGUUACUGGGUACCCAGACAGGCAAAUGCCUGUUGAUUGGAUGGCUAAAUUGUGAAGAAAGCAAAGCUUACCUGUGCAAUGUGUCCAUGCCUUCAUUCCUACUUUCUGAAUCAACAGUGCCUGUUAUUGUUCUGCCCAACUGUUAAGAUGUUCCACCUGUGCCUGCUCUUUGGCGCAGUACUCCAGGCUAUAGAUCAACAUUUCUCAAACCUGGCUGCACAUUAGAGUCAUCUGGGGAUCUUUUAAAAACCCAGCUGCCUUGGCUGCACAUCUGAUCAUUACGUCAGACUCUUGUAGGGAGGAGUAUAGACAUCAGCAUUGAUUAAAACUCCUGAGAUAAUUCCAAUGUGCAGUCAGGAUUGAGAACAGCUGGUCUACACCAGUUCCUCUUGAAGUAUGGUCUGUAAGUCACAGGCUGCAGAAUCUCCUUGGAUGUUUGUGGGAAAUGCAGAUUGCUAGGUUCACCAGCCCUAUAGGCACUGAGUCUCAAGGUGAGAUCUGGAAAAUGUGUUUUAAUAAGCUCCCCAGGUGAUUCCUAAGCUUUUUGCAAGUACCGCUGCUUCUUAUGAUAUGGCCGUUCUUGCUUCCCAUCAGUUAUCCUUGUCUUUCAGUUCCUCAAAGAUAUCAAGUUUCAUUCAUCCUCAGGACCACUGCAUAUGAUAGUCGCUCUACUUGGAAGACAUUUUCCUCUUUCUCCUUGUUAUUAGGCAUUUGGCAGACUUAACAAUGAGGCUAUUGUAACCCCAGAAAGUCAUUGCAAAGUGCCUGCUUAGGGGGUUAAGAGUAGACACUGCAGGGCCUUGGAAUAGUAAUGGUUUACUAUUUAAUGAGUUCCCUGUCACUGGAAGUCAUAGAGAGAUUGCUCCAGGCAUGGUGGGAGAAAAGCCAGUUUGACAGGCGGUGGAGGGAUAAGAGGGAAGACUUGAGUGACGUGGCACAAACUGGGUCAGAUCUAUUAAAGAGGCAGCCCUGGGCAGCUGGCAAGAGAUCAUGUCAAGAGACACAAUGCAGGUGCCAGCAGGACCAGAAGAUCAGCUUCUUAGAGCGAGUGCCACCUGGAAGGGGGAAACCAAGGGAAGGGGCACAGCAAAGGGCAAAGCUGGGUGGUGGAGGAAGUACCCAAACAGAGGGAAGAGCCACUCUGGCCACAUCAAGUGAAUACUGAUGAUCGGGAAACAUUCAUGGGAAGUUAUUUCACUCUCUCGAGUCCAGUGUAAGUGAGAAAGUGUAAUUUAAUUUAAAAGAGCCUAAUUUAGCCUUCCAUCAACUGUAGAUCUUUUAACGAGACCUUUAUUCUUCUAGGACAGCAUUUCUCAAACUUUAAUGUGCGUAGGAAUCUUAUUAAAAUGCAGAUUCUGAUUCAGUACGUCUGGGGUAAGGGCUGAGAUUCAGCACUUCUAACCGGCUCCUAGAUGCCCCCGGUCUGAGCACUACACUUAGAGCAAGCAGGUUUGAACAUUGCGACUUAUAACAGUGGACCCAUGGUGUAGACAAGUCCAGAAAUGACUGCUGAAUCAACAGUUUUUAUGUUAGCUUCCGUAUACCUUCAGAAUUCAGUGUUUGUGUGCAUUCUAAUUCUCUAAAUGAUGUAUAUUAGAUUUCCAUUAACGAAAAUAUAUGUUUAAGUGGAACUCUCCAAUUCCAACUUGC
ensembl:lncRNA CPB2-AS1 CPB2 antisense RNA 1